rnacentral:lncRNA from 1 species
CCGGGAGAUCAUUAAUAUUGCUCAAAACGACAGAUCUAAGGAUGAAUUUUGGGGAUUUGAAAAGGACGGGGAUCUAGGGCUUCCAAAAAGAUGAGAGAAAAGUAAAUUUGAGAGACGAUUUAUUUCUUUCUUAUUUUUUUUGCAAUAUUAAAUAGCAUUUUAGUCCACUCACAUUAGUUAGACUAUUUAGGGACCGGAAUAUUUUCUUUUCAGCGAACAAAUUUUG